rnacentral:rRNA from 1 species
GAUGAACGCUGGCGGCGUGCCUAAUACAUGCAAGUCGAGCGAAUGGAUUAAGAGCUUGCUCUUAUGAAGUUAGCGGCGGACGGGUGAGUAACACGUGGGUAACCUGCCCAUAAGACUGGGAUAACUCCGGGAAACCGGGGCUAAUACCGGAUAAUAUUUUGAACUGCAUGGUUCAAAAUUGAAAGGCGGCUUCGGCUGUCACUUAUGGAUGGACCCGCCUCGCAUUAGCUAGUUGGUGAGGUAACGGCUCACCAAGGCAACGAUGCGUAGCCGACCUGAGAGGGUGAUCGGCCACACUGGGACUGAGACACGGCCCAGACUCCUACGGGAGGCAGCAGUAGGGAAUCUUCCGCAAUGGACGAAAGUCUGACGGAGCAACGCCGCGUGAGUGAUGAAGGCUUUCGGGUCGUAAAACUCUGUUGUUAGGGAAGAACAAGUGCUAGUUGAAUAAGCUGGCACCUUGACGGUACCUAACCAGAAAGCCACGGCUAACUACGUGCAGCAGCCGCCGUAA